ensembl:snRNA U6 U6 spliceosomal RNA
GUGCUUGCUUUGGCAGCACAUUUGGUAAAAUUGGAACAACACAGAGAAGAGUAACAUGGCCACCGUCCAAUGAUGACGUGCAAAUUCAUAAAGCGUUCAUAUUUCUA